rnacentral:rRNA from 1 species
GAUGAACGCUGGCGGUAUGCCUAACACAUGCAAGUCGAACGGGCUUUUCGGAGCUAGUGGCGGACGGGUGAGUAACGCGUGAGAAUCUGCCUUCAGGAUGGGGAUAACAGGGAGAAAUCGCUGCUAAAACCCAAUGUGCCGAAAGGUGAAAUACUUGUAGCCAGAAGAGGAGCUCGCGUCCGAUUAGUUAGUUGGUGGGGUAAGAGCCUACCAAGGCAGCGAUCGGUAGCUGGUCUGAGAGGAUGAGCAGCCACACUGGGACUGAGACACGGCCCAGACUCCUACGGGAGGCAGCAGUGGGGAAUUUUCCGCAAUGGGCGAAAGCCUGACGGAGCAAUACCGCGUGAGGGAGGAAGGCUUUUGGGUUGUAAACCUCUUUUGUUAAGGAAGAAGAAAGUGACGGUACUUAAAGAAUAAGCAUCGGCUAACUCCGUGCCAGCCGCCGCCGUAA